rnacentral:rRNA from 1 species
AAGCUCGUAGUUGAAUUUCGGGACCAAUGGAUUGGUCAUGCCGAUGGUAUGUACUGGUCAUAUUGGUUCUCACCUUCUAAGGAACCAUAAUGUCAUUUAUUUGAUGUUGUGGGGAAUUAGGACUGUUACCUUGAAAAAAUUAGAGUGUUUAAAGCAGGCUAACGCUUGAAUACAUUAGCAUGGAAUAAUGAAAUAGGACAUCGCAUUCUAUUUUGUUGGUUUCUGGGAUCGAUGUAAUGAUUAAUAGGGAUAGUUGGGGGCAUUAGUAUUCAAUUGUCAGAGGUGAAAUUCUUGGAUUUAUUGAAGACUAACUACUGCGAAAGCAUUUGCCAAGGAUGUUUUCAUUAAUCAAGAACGAAAGUUAGGGGGUCGGAGACGAUCAGAUACCGUCGUAGUCUUAACCAUAAACUAUGCCGACUAGGGAUCGGAUGAUGUUGAUUUUUUGAUGACUCAUUUGGCACCUUAUGAGAAAUCAAAGUGUUUGGGUUCCGGGGGGAGUAUGGUCGCAAGGCUGAAGCUUAAAGGAAUGGACGGAUGGCACCUCCAGGCGUGGAGGCUGCGGCUUAAUUUGACUCAGCACGGGGAAA